rnacentral:rRNA from 1 species
GAUUCUGGCUCAGGAUGAACGCUAGCGAUAGGCUUAACACAUGCAAGUCGAGGGGCAGCACGGUGUAGCAAUACACUGGUGGCGACCGGCGUACGGGUGCGUAACACGUAUGCAACCUACCCGCUAGUUGGGGGAUAACCCGGCGAAAGUCGGACUAAUACCCCAUAUUAUUCUUACCGGGCAUCCGGUAGGUCUGAAAGAUUUAUCGAUUGCGGAUGGGCAUGCGGAUGAUUAGCUAGUAGGUGGGGUAACGGCUCACCUAGGCGACGAUCAUUAGGGGUUCUGAGAGGAAGGUCCCCCACACUGGAACUGAGACACGGUCCAGACUCCUACGGGAGGCAGCAGUGAGGAAUAUUGGUCAAUGGGCGCUAGCCUGAACCAGCCAAGUCGCGUGAAGGAUGACAAGAUCUAUGGUUUGUAAACUUCUUUUGCAGGGGAGUAAAGUGCGACACGCGUGUUGUAUUGCAAGUACCCUGCGAAUAAGCAUCGGCUAACUCCGUGCCAGCAGCCGC